rnacentral:rRNA from 1 species
GAUGAACGCUGGCGGCGUGCCUAAUACAUGCAAGUCGAGCGAACCACUUCGGUGGUGAGCGGCGAACGGGUGAGUAACACGUAGGUUAUCUGCCCAUCAGACGGGGACAACGAUUGGAAACGAUCGCUAAUACCGGAUAGGACGAAAGUUUAAAGGUGCUUCGGCACCACUGAUGGAUGAGCCUGCGGCGCAUUAGCUAGUUGGUAGGGUAAAGGCCUACCAAGGCGACGAUGCGUAGCCGACCUGAGAGGGUGAACGGCCACACUGGGACUGAGACACGGCCCAGACUCCUACGGGAGGCGGCAGUAGGGAAUCUUCGGCAAUGGGCGAAAGCCUGACCGAGCAACGCCGCGUGAAAGAUGAAGGCCUU